rnacentral:rRNA from 1 species
UAACCUGCCCAAGAGAUCGGGAUAACACCUGGAAACAGAUGCUAAUACCGGAUAACAACAGAUGAUGCCUAUCAACUGUUUAAAAGAUGGUUCUGCUAUCACUCUUGGAUGGACCUGCGGUGCAUUAGCUGGUUGGUAGGGUAACGGCCUACCAAGGCGAUGAUGCAUAGCCGAGUUGAGAGACUGAUCGGCCACAUUGGGACUGAGACACGGCCCAAACUCCUACGGGAGGCAGCAG